ensembl:ncRNA Y49F6A.7 ncRNA
UUCAUCUUCUUUUUCUUCUUCUUUUCUUCCACACUGCUUCUUCUCCAAGCCAUAACCCAAUCGGUCACAUAAAUGAGAAGAACGCCUGUUCUUCU